GCAUUGAUGGUUCAGUGGUAGAAUUCUCACCUUCCAUGUGGGAGAGACCUGGGUUCGGUUCCCGGCCAAUGUA
rnacentral:tRNA from 1 species